CGUAGGUGGCGAGCGUUGUCCGGAUUUAUUGGGUUUAAAGGGUGCGUAGGCGGCCUCAUAAGUCAGUGCUGAAAUAUUCCGGCUUAACCGGGAGGGUGGCAUUGAUACUGCGGGGCUAGAGUACAGAUGAGGUAGGCGGAAUUGACGGUGUAGCGGUGAAAUGCUUAGAUAUCGUCAAGAACACCUAUAGCGAAGGCAGCUUACUAGGCUGUAACUGACGCUGAGGCACGAAAGUGUGGGGAUCAAACAGGAUUAGAUACCCUGGUAGUCCACACUGUAAACGUUGAUUACUCGCUGUGUGCGAUAUACAGUACGCGGCCAAGCGAAAGCGCUAAGUAAUCCACCUGGGGAGUACGCCGGCAACGGUG
rnacentral:rRNA from 1 species